ensembl:miRNA MIR519C microRNA 519c
UCUCAGCCUGUGACCCUCUAGAGGGAAGCGCUUUCUGUUGUCUGAAAGAAAAGAAAGUGCAUCUUUUUAGAGGAUUACAGUUUGAGA